AAUCGAGCAAGGAUAUUGUUGGUGUCCUUAACUCAAGAAUUUUAGUUUUCAAAGAUUUAUUUAUUAAAUUUUGAAAACCCGGCUAAGUGAAUCAUAGAAUGUUAAACACUUUUCUACGACUUAAGAUUAGAUUCAGGAGACCUAUUAAGAUUAUAGAUUUCUUGUAGGCUUUGUGGAUCGUGAGGACUAGCGCAGCUAUUCCGAUUCAGAGAUUAGAUAAACGACAGGCAUUGCCUAUUCAGGUGGGCUUAUUUUCCAAAUGUAUGUUUGAGUUAUUAAACUCUAAAUGUUUCAUGAAAUGCAAACUGUUUAUCCAAUAAAUAUUUUUGUGCGCUCUGUUAUGUUUAAGGCUUGCAAUUCAUGGAUCGAUCGAGGUUCUCUUAUGACCUAACACGUUGUUUGAGAAUUGUGUACACUUGUUAGUUGUUUCGGUGGGUUGAUCUCCAUCGGGCACUAAUUCAUGUAAGAGGCGUUAUAAGGGUGCUUGGCUGGAUGUGUUCCGGAGCAUGUAUCAUGUAAGGCCUGCCUGGGUAGCGUCCCGAGGUCAAUUCAACUUGUCUGAGUUACGCCCUCAGGGCAAGUGUCAUGGGAGAAAGCGAUACGUCGGUGGCUAAAAGGUCCGGUAUCACAGCGAGUAACUAAACAGAGUGUGACAAUGGCGCGCUAAUAAAAUGAAAUACUUUAACAUGCUUAGAAGUUAUUUUUGUUUUAAAACCUUCUAAGUUAUGUCAGGAAUGAUUGGAUAAACUGCUCUUACGAAUUGUGAAAUGUUUUAAAAGUUGCAGCCCACUAAGUACAUUAGUACUUAGCCCAAAUAUUUUCAAAUGUUUUUCAGGUUGAUGGCUGGUGCUGACGGGGAGAGCUGAGGCUAGGGUUCAACUCCGUGUUUUGACUUCCGCUGUAGUACUAGCCUUUAUUUGUCUUUCGUUUCCUUGACUUAAGACUUUUAUGUU
rnacentral:lncRNA from 1 species